GCGGGUGUAGCUCAGUGGUUAGAGCGCCUGACUGUGACUCAGGAGGUCGCGGGUUCAAAUCCCGUUACCCGCCCCA
rnacentral:tRNA from 1 species